ACACGUAGGGUGCGAGCGUUGUCCGGAAUUAUUGGGCGUAAAGGGCUCGUAGGCGGUUUGUCGCGUCGGGAGUGAUAACACCGGGCUUAACUCGGUGCUUGCUUUCGAUACGGGCAGACUAGAGGCAUGCAGGGGAGAACGGAAUUCCUGGUGUAGCGGUGAAAUGCGCAGAUAUCAGGAGGAACACCGGUGGCGAAGGCGGUUCUCUGGGCAUGUCCUGACGCUGAGGAGCGAAAGCAUGGGGAGCGAACAGG
rnacentral:rRNA from 1 species